GGCGCGCGGGUGGGGGUGCGGGCAGUGAGGCGGAGUACGGGGCCGUUAGCCUGACCCGGGACACGUGUGUUGCCAUCGGCUCUGACCUCGUGACGCACCAGAACCGCUGCGCAGAUGUGCAGGGGUAUGAGUGGGCGCAGUUGGGCCACGACACGCUUGGUGGCCGCCUCCUCGCCUACCUCCGUGACCAGGGCGACCCUCGCAUGCCGCCCCCGGAUGCGUCCCUUCUGCGGGGUACGUGGCGGAGGCUGUGGGACAGCCACGCCAGUCGGGGGGCAAAGGUGCUGG
rnacentral:lncRNA from 1 species